UCACCGCGCUGACACGUUCGAGCGACAAGCGGCCGGAUGUGUUGAGGUGGUUCAAAGCAACGGUCACAGAGCGUCUUUGUCAUUUGGGGCGGUGAGCGAGCCCGGGAGGGAGGGCAGGUUGCCACCUCUGUCCUCGGGGAGUCCAGAGGCACAAGAGGGGCAGAGUCACGCCGCGUGGAAUCGGCGCUGGGGAGCGAGUGACCGCUCCCCGCUCCGCAGGGCUGCUCCUCCAGCGGCAGCGGCCCCGGCCCCGGCCGCUCUCCCGGCUUCUCCAGAACACGAAAACCCUCCCCCGCCAAUGCCGGAGACACUCGGCUUUAUAUCUGCAGCAUCAGCGAGAAAGCCCGGCUCGGCGCAGGCUCAGUGUUCACCGCCGCAGUCCCGGACGGAGGAGGGGGGCUCGGGAGCUCAGCAUCUUCGCAGCGGGUUAAGUAGGAUUAAUACCAAAUCCCUAUUAUAUUUGCCAAGCAACUUGAAUUUAUCAAAAUUCCCCCUCGCUGUUCUGGAGCUUCGAGAGGAGGAAAUUUUGCCCACAGUGUAGGAUCCAGACAUACCAUGUCUUCACAUGCAAUCUCCCUCUGAAUGUGCAAUGUCUUUCCUGCUCGGGAGCGCUGCGUCCUUCACAGUGGAUUGGUUCCUAUUUCGGAUCAGAGGAUAGAAUAAAAGAUCUGUGAUGUCUUCAUGAAUCUACUGUGUCGGCUGCCUGUUGAGUAGAAGAGGAAAUAUCCAAGAAAGAUGGCAACUCUGCAGCGUUCAGAGGAAGAAUCUUUGAUAUUAAAAUCUGAAUGCUGUUAUGGAUAAUUGAAUUCUGUGGUGCUCUAUUCCCUUCUAUGAUGGGGAAAAGAGAAAAGCAGUCGAAUAUUGUGAUAAAACUGGAAGCCUGCAGCAGCUGGUUGAUGGGUCUGAAUGCUUCAUAUUAAAAGACGGAGAAUGAGCGUGAAAAGCUCUUUGCCCAGAAUCUACUUUCCUCCAGUAUUAUGUGACCUCUCUUUUGGGACGUAACAAUGUGGAGCAGGAAGCUGCUGUAUUUGAACACAGAGGGAUGAAAGUUAGAUCGAAAUAGAAAGAAAAGGAUGAAGGAACUUUAUUGACUGUCCUAAGUAUCAAUGAUGUAAAAAGAUAACUGUGAAAUUUACUAUAAAAUUAUCCCAUUCAUGCUGUCCAUAAACAAUGGUAACAUUGUAGAUGUUUAGUUCUUGUUCAAAUAGCAAAGGCUUAUUCAGCAGAUCAAAAUGAUACAGUCCUAAUGAACAAGCACGUAAGCAUCACUAAGAUAGCAUAUCAUUAAACACGUUCCGUUUUCAGUUUGUUUGAUUGGGUUUUGGCUGGGAAACGAUAUAGCAAAAAAAAUGAUAUAACACUCCCCCCGCCCCGAACUAUCAUCAAGAACAUUAUUCAUAUUGCCAGAUCAAACACUCAGAAGUUAGAAAAUAUCAGAAUAAUACUGUCAGCAGACCCUUAAUUCAGAUGCCGCUGCAUCAUCCAUUGCAAUGUUUGAUUGCAAUCCAAUUACAUGUUUACAUACUCUUUCUCCACUGGAUUUCAAUUUGGAAUCAAAUAAGUAAGUAAGUAAAUAAAUAAAUUAAACACAAAUGAACAAACACAUAAUAAAUAAACAAUUAAACAAAUACAUAUUAAUAAAUUAAAACCACAUUUUUAUUUAAUUGCACAGAACAAAUGUGUAAGGUUGCAGUUAAUAAGAAAUUAUUUAAUAUUUUUUUUUUUCCACGUUCAGUGUUUGUCUCAAGACCUUAUUUACUGCACAUUGUUCAAAUAACAUCCCAGACACAUAAUUAUUAAAUGGAUUUUUUUAUGAUGUACACUACUACAUUGUCUAAAAUAUUCAAAAGUGUUAUUUAAUUUGUAAAGAACUGUAUUAUACUGGGGGUUACUGUGAUUCCAGUAUUACAAAUGGGAAGGGUGUGGGUCAAAAAUAUGCACAGAUUUAGGUUAUCUAAUUUGAGCCUUUUAGGUCCAUAUUUUGGGGAGUGCUUAGAAAUACAUAGCUUUUACAUGUGCAAACCAAAACUUUCACUGACAUAAGGUAUGUCUGGGGAUGCUCACUGUUCUGCAAAUCAGCCUCAGGAUUUCAGGUAAGAGCUCAGAAAUAGACAAAAUCACAUGCAAAAUGUUUUGUUCUGUGACUUAAUAUCAUGGGGGAAAUCCAUGACGGAAGUUUCAGUCCCCAGCUUUAAAGUACAAUGUUCUAACACUAUGAAACAUUGUUUUCCUCCACUUCAGAGAAGGUCAGUUCUGUACAAUGAAGAAAGUAGGGGCCUUGAGGGGAAAAAAUAUGACUCUAAUGAAAGACUAUGUCAGACGGCACAAGUACAAGUGAGUGGAACUAUGAUUUCACCUCUAACUACAUUUUGAUAAUUUUCUAACUAUGAAAUAAGCAUUUAAUCUUUUAACCCUAAUAAUGCCUUUCUAAUAUAUUUGUGUGGCAUAUAGUAGUUUCUGUUGUAGGCAGAGGACAGCAAAGUUCCCUGUCUCCGCAAAAGGAAAUGAAUUCAGCUAUACAACACUUUGGAGGAGAAGGAACUGGGGUAAGGGGAAGGACUCUUGAAUAAGCAUAAGCCGGAGAUGCACAGAUGGUAAAAGUUCCCAAAUGUUCUAGUCUCCUCUCUGGGCGUCUUUUGCUAUAUAAGUGUGAUAACAUUUGUUAGAAGGCAUGAUUAAGGCUUUAUAGGCUUCACAGAUGGAAUGUAAUUUAGUGGAAAGACUUGAAAGAUAGAAGAUUUGGAUGUGAAAUGGAUUCCAUGAAAGGAAUUAGAAAGGGUCAAGUCCAGAGAGGCAAUGUAGAUGUAAUGACAUGUAAAUAUUUUUCUGGAAACAAACGUUUGGAUGACCCAUUAAAUUGCCUUCGAUAAUUUUACUGGGGUUAGGUUAGGUUGGAACAUCUAUCUGUGUAAGAGUAGACCUGAGAUAAGGGGCACAAACUCGAACAUAGGAAGUUCCACCUAAACAUGAGAAGGAACUUCUUUGAGGGUGGCAGAGCACUGGCACAGGCUGCCCAGAGAGGUGGUGGAGUCUCCAUCUCUGGAGACAUUCCAAACCUGUCUGGACGUGUUCCUGUGCAACCUGCUCUAGGUGACCCUGCUCUGGCAGGGGGGUUGGACUAGAUGAUCUCCAGAGGUCCCUUCCAACACCUACCAUUCUGUGAUUCGGUGAUUCUGAGUCAGUUCCUUUCAUCCAGGGAUCUCUCCGUUUUUCUCAAAGGAAUAUGUAACUUAAAAGAUAGAAGCAGUUAGAAAACUUAUUUAAAGUCAUUUGACAUACAGCCACCCUAUAUUCAAUAAAGUAACCUACCUAUUAGGCUACAUAAUUAGGUAUGUUUUCUGUCCCUCCUUUUCCUCCAGCAAAACUCAUUUACACUUCCACCCUUCCUCCAACUUCUGGCAAGCCUCUUGUCCACUAUGCUAUAUCUCAUGUAGGAAGAAACCACCUUGGGGACACAGAAAAGAUAAAGAAAUGGACAAUUAACUACAUUCUUCCCAGCAAUGUAGAAGUGCUCAUGAAUGUUAAAUCAAUUUACAGUGAAUACUGAAGAAAGUGUUACAGACUUGCUGCUAAAACAUGUUUCCUAUGGUGAGAGAAACUGAUUUUAAAGGAGAGGAAGAAAUGGAGGAGAAAUGGCUCUUUCAGGCACUGCUGGCGGGAGUGGCUUACCCAUCUAAACAUAGUGGAAAUGUUUGAAUUCUCUGAGCCAGUGAUUUAAACUGAGGUAGGUCUGACUCAAAUCUUCUUCAAGACGUGAACACCGAUUUCCCUUCAAAUUAGUGAGUGGAUUUUUUUUAGAUUAGACUUUAAACACCGACAAUGUGUUGGCUGUGUGAGUAUGUUAGCGAGCCCUGGCGUACUUGGCAAAGGGAAGUGUAUGUCCUAGAAGCAGUGCAGAACAUUUUGCCUCCGCACACUGUUCCACAGAAAUCUUGGGUGAGAGCCAGCAUAGUGUCAAAGCCAUAAAGAUGGAAGCCUCAUUUUUUGCUUUUUGCUUUCUCACCCUUAUUUCUGGUUUGGGUUGGGUUUUGUUAGUUUGUUUUUGUUGUUGUUUUUUUGACAGACAAACCGGCCACAGCAGAGUACGUUUUGGUCCCAUAAGCAGAAAUAUUUCUUGAUUUGUACUCUUCCCCUGAUCUGUUUUUGCUAUCUAAGUAUUGUAAAGUUUUCUCCAUAACUAGGGAAAAGAGAUAAAUAAUAUGAUAAAUAUUCCAAUCCUUUCAAAUAAUUUUUUGUAGUUUUUCAGCUAUCUAACUAGUUUCAGAUUGUGGCAUUUUCAUAUUAAAAAUUUUGGAAAAAAUGAAAAUAACAUUAAUUCUUUGGCUCUAGGCAUAAAUAGUGGUGCUGCCCCUGAUACCAUCUUAUUCUUAUGAAAAAUACAACCAGUAUUAUAAAAAUGAGUUUUCAGUUCAGGUAUAUCUACUUGAGUGAGAAGAUUGAUAACAAGAUUGCUGUGUGUUAGCUAAAUGUAAAUGUGAACCAGUAAUAAAAGAUAUAAUUUAAAAGAUAAGUGCUCAUACACAUAGAAAUAGUUGCAGAAUCUUCAUUUAGUCCUAUCAUGCUGUCUUUAAUAUAUUAUCACAUACAUUUAU